rnacentral:rRNA from 1 species
ACGCUCGACACCUACGGGAGGCAGCAGUUGGGAAUAUUGGACAAUGGAGGAAACUCUGAUCCAGUGACGCCGCGUGAAGGAAGAAGGUCUUCGGAUUGUAAACUUAUUUUGUCAGGGAAGAAAAAAUGACUGUACCUGAAGAAAAAGCACCGGCUAACUACGUGACAGCAGCCGCGGUAAUCUGAGCGGGCUGGCAAGGC